rnacentral:rRNA from 1 species
UACAGAGGUCCCAAGCGUUGUUCGGAUUCAUUGGGCGUAAAGGGUGCGUAGGCGGCGCGGUAAGUCGGGUGUGAAAUCUCGGAGCUUAACUCGGAAAGGUCAACUGAUACUGUGCGACUAGAGUGCGGAAGGGGCAACUGGAAUUCUCGGUGUAGCGGUGAAAUGCGUAGAUAUCGAGAGGAACACCUGCGGCGAAGGCGGGUUGGUGGGCCGGCACUGACGCUGAUGCGCGAAAGCCAGGGGAGCGAACGGG